GGGGAAUUUUGGACAAUGGGCGCAAGCGUGAUCCAGCAAUGCCGCGUGAGCGAAGAAGGCCUUCGCGUUGUAAAGCUCUUUUGUCAGGGAAGAAACGGUGAGGGCUAAUAUCCNUUGCUAAUGACGGUACCUGAAGAAUAAGCACCGGCUAACUACGUGCCAGCAGCCGCGGUAAUACGUAGGGUGCAAGCGUUAAUCGGAAUUACUGGGCGUAAAGCGUGCGCAGGCGGUUUUGUAAGUCUGUCGUGAAAUCCCCGGGCUCAACCUGGGAAUUGCGAUGGAGACUGCAAGGCUAGAAUCUGGCAGAGGGGGGUAGAAUUCCACGUGUAGCAGUGAAAUGCGUAGAGAUGUGGAGGAACACCGAUGGCGAAGGCAGCCCCCUGGGUCAAGAUUGACGCUCAUGCACGAAAGCGUGGGGAGCAAACAGGAUUAGAUACCCUGGUAGUCCACGCCCUAAACGAUGUCUACUAGUGUCGGGUUUUAAUCAACUCGGUAACGCAGCUAACGCGU
rnacentral:rRNA from 1 species